rnacentral:rRNA from 1 species
GAUGAACGCUGGCGGCGUGCCUAAUACAUGCAAGUCGAGCGAACGGACGAGAAGCUUGCUUCUCUGAUGUUAGCGGCGGACGGGUGAGUAACACGUGGAUAACCUACCUAUAAGACUGGGAUAACUUCGGGAAACCGGAGCUAAUACCGGAUAAUAUUUUGAACCGCAUGGUUCAAAAGUGAAAGACGGUCUUGCUGUCACUUAUAGAUGGAUCCGCGCUGCAUUAGCUAGUUGGUAAGGUAACGGCUUACCAAGGCAACGAUGCAUAGCCGACCUGAGAGGGUGAUCGGCCACACUGGAACUGAGACACGGUCCAGACUCCUACGGGAGGCAGCAGUAGGGAAUCUUCCGCAAUGGGCGAAAGCCUGACGGAGCAACGCCGCGUGAGUGAUGAAGGUCUUCGGAUCGUAAAACUCUGUUAUUAGGGAAGAACAUAUGUGUAAGUAACUGUGCACAUCUUGACGGUACCUAAUCAGAAAGCCACGGCUAACUACGUGCCAGCAGCCGCGGUAAUACGUAGGUGGCAAGCGUUAUCCGGAAUUAUUGGGCGUAAAGCGCGCGUAGGCGGUUUUUUAAGUCUGAUGUGAAAGCCCACGGCUCAACCGUGGAGGGUCAUUGGAAACUGGAAAACUUGAGUGCAGAAGAGGAAAGUGGAAUUCCAUGUGUAGCGGUGAAAUGCGCAGAGAUAUGGAGGAACACCAGUGGCGAAGGCGACUUUCUGGUCUGUAACUGACGCUGAUGUGCGAAAGCGUGGGGAUCAAACAGGAUUAGAUACCCUGGUAGUCCACGCCGUAAACGAUGAGUGCUAAGUGUUAGGGGGGUUCCGCCCCUUAGUGCUGCAGCUAACGCAUUAAGCACUCCGCCUGGGGAGUACGACCGCAAGGUUGAGACUCAAAGGAAUUGACGGGGACCCGCACAAGCGGUGGAGCAUGUGGUUUAAUUCGAAGCAACGCGAAGAACCUUACCAAAUCUUGACAUCCUUUGACAACUCUAGAGAUAGAGCUUUCCCCUUCGGGGGACAAAGUGACAGGUGGUGCAUGGUUGUCGUCAGCUCGUGUCGUGAGAUGUUGGGUUAAGUCCCGCAACGAGCGCAACCCUUAAGCUUAGUUGCCAUCAUUAAGUUGGGCACUCUAAGUUGACUGCCGGUGACAAACCGGAGGAAGGUGGGGAUGACGUCAAAUCAUCAUGCCCCUUAUGAUUUGGGCUACACACGUGCUACAAUGGACAAUACAAAGGGCAGCGAAACCGCGAGGUCAAGCAAAUCCCAUAAAGUUGUUCUCAGUUCGGAUUGUAGUCUGCAACUCGACUACAUGAAGCUGGAAUCGCUAGUAAUCGUAGAUCAGCAUGCUACGGUGAAUACGUUCCCGGGUCU